AGAUAAUAUUAAUAGGGCACCAUACGAUUUUAUUCACAUUUUCACCAACAAUAAGAAACCAUUGCAGUCGUGUACAUUAGAAAUCAAAAUAGUAAAAGGCCUUUCGAUAAAUCAUACUCACUCCCCACCACCCAAAAAAGCACAAGUAGUCAUGAGUUGCUUUUAACACUUCCUUCAACGCGUGUGAGUGCAUCUGUUAGCACAUCAAUUGUCCAAUCCUUCAGAUCUUGCUGCAGAUAAGAAGUGAAAAAGCAACAAAAAUAAACAUCAGUAUUCUGUAUGAUAAAAAAUCAACAACAGAAAAGCAUUCUGUUCUAUUCUUUUGCCGAACUACUAAAAUGCAGCUGCUCAGAGUUUGGAUAUAUAUUCACUCAAGUUCCUGAAGCUUGUGAUGCAAGGAGAAGUGAACCUCAGGGCAUUGAAACGGCAAAAUGACACUUAGUAAUUCCAAAAGAAAGCAUGUUAAAGCAGUCACUACAACUAACUGUCAGGGUAGGACAUUUACAUUUAGGGCAAGAAACAAGAGUGAGAUUGCUACAUCCUAUUAAUAAUCCUCAAAGGUUGCUUCAAGGCAGAUCCGAUCACCUAAUUACAUCUCUUCAAAGGCCAGAACAGAGACACCGUAGGUUUUGCAUAACUCAAAGGAAAAAAGAUUGAGGCAAGUUGAACAUGAAAAACAUGGGAAUGGUUACCAUUUGCAUACUAUCAACAAACUAGAUUGCCUUCUUCAAUUAUUGUAUUCUGGUGUCUAAUAAAAAAGACAGUGACUUGAUAUAACUAUUGCAAACAAAAUGAGUCAAAAUUCCAAGUUUAAAAAGAUGGGGUACUGUUAUGUUGGUUUAAGCGGGGAAGAGGUAAGAGAAAGAAAUGGAAUUUCAAGAAAAAUGAGUGUACAAAAUGGGAAAUAAAAA
rnacentral:misc_RNA from 1 species